UACGAAGGGGGCUAGCGUUGCUCGGAAUCACUGGGCGUAAAGCGCACGUAGGCGGAUUGCUAAGUCAGGGGGGAAAUCCUGGAGCUCAACUCCAGAACUGCCUUUGAUACUGGCGAUCUUGAGUCCGGGAGAGGUGAGUGGAACUGCGAGUGUAGAGGUGAAAUUCGUAGAUAUUCGCAAGAACACCAGUGGCGAAGGCGGCUCACUGGCCCGGUACUGACGCUGAGGUGCGAAAGCGUGGGGAGCAAACAGG
rnacentral:rRNA from 1 species